CCUUCUUCACUGAAGCCUAGGGGAGCCAGUAAAGAUUAAAUGUGCUUCUCAAAGGCAGCCACUUCAUGCUGCUAUGUCGAAAGGGCCAUUAUUAUUAUUAUAUUUUAAUGGUAAAAGAGAAAAGGAGAGAGGUUGAGCGAGCGAGAGAGAAGCUAGGUGUGAUGAUGACAGACUAGCUUUUCUGAGAGGAAAAGGAAAAGGGAAGGGAGAGAAAAAGGAGAGCCUCUGAGCUCAACGGAGGAUUGUGCCUGAGAAGAACCCACAGAGAUACAGUUAAGCUAAUGAUCUCGAGAGGAUAUCGUCCUGGAUAAGGGUGGAGCCUACGCCCAAAAACAAGAUUACCUGAAAGAGAAAAGAAAGGGGGAAAACACACAGAGAUACAGUCGGGGAGGCCACAUGAAGAUGGAGGCAGAGACAGGAGUGAUGAGCCUGCAAGCCAAGGAAUGCCAAGGGCUGCCAGCAGCCAUGAGAAGCUGAGAGACACAGAGAACGAGUCCUCUGCCAGAGCCUCCAGAAGGAACUAACCCUGUCAAUACCUUGAUUUCGGACUUCUGGACUCCAGAACUAUAACCCUCCUUCCUCCACCUCACAAAAACUCACAAGCUGCAACCCUUCUGAUGUCCACUCCCACACAAACCAGCUUCAGGCCUUUUUCAAGUUCUAGAGGUCAGAAUUCUGACAUGGAUCUCACUGGGCUGAAAUCAAGCUGUUGGCAUGGCUCCAUUUCUUCUGGAAACUCUAGUGAGAAAUUCAUUUUCUUGCCCUUUUCAGCGUCUAGAGGCCACACCUUGUUCAGAAUUAAUAGAUCAUAUAGGUGUAAAUUUAUUUUCAACUUUCAGUUCUUGUCUGGUGGAAGAAGGUGGGUUAUCUGAAAUGAGACAGAGUAACACCAGAUGAGGUUGUGUUUGACUCAUAAUACACGGGUGGAUGUGGGUGAACUGAGCAGCUGGUAGAUGUUUGCGGUGUGUUUGUGUGGUUCAUUAAUCUAUUCGUUCAUCUUUACAGCAAUACCACACUUUUCCAAUUUCUAUACUUUUUUUGUUUUUAUGAUAUUGUAAAUGGUAUGUUUAUAGUUUCAUUUUUCAAGUUUUGAUUGCUAGUAUGCAGUAAAGCAAUUGACUUUUGUAUGUAAACAUUGUAUUCUGUGAUAAUACUAAAUCAGCUUAUUAGGAUUUUUUUAAAGACUCCUUAGAAUUUUCUAUAUAUUAUGUCACCAGUAAUUCAAAAGAGUUUUGCUCUUUUCUUUUCGGUCCUUAUGCAUUUUGUUUAUUUAUAUUGUCCUAUUUUACUGGCUGGGGACCUCUAGUACAAGGAUGAAUAAGAGUGCUAAGAAUGGACAUCCUUGCUUUGUUUCCUAAGGGAAAAGCAUUCAGUAUUUUAUAAUUAAAUAUAGUAUUAUUUCUAUUUGUAAAAAAUAAGUGGACUUUAUCAGAUUGAGAAAAUUUUCUUUUAUAUCUAAUUUUCUGGUGGUUACUAUUAUUGUUACUGCUA
rnacentral:lncRNA from 1 species